CCUACGGGCCGCACCAGUGGGGAAUAUUGGACAAUGGGCGAAAGCCUGAUCCAGCAAUGCCGCGUGUGUGAAGAAGGUCUUCGGAUUGUAAAGCACUUUCGACGGGGACGAUGAUGACGGUACCCGUAGAAGAAGCCCCGGCUAACUUCGUGCCAGCAGCCGCGGUAAUACGGAGGGUGCAAGCGUUAAUCGGAAUUACUGGGCGUAAAGCGCACGUAGGCGGUUUAUGCAGUCAGAUGUGAAAUCCCCGGGCUUAACCUGGGAACUGCAUUUGAGACGCAUAGACUAGAGGUCGAGAGAGGGUUGUGGAAUUCCCAGUGUAGAGGUGAAAUUCGUAGAUAUUGGGAAGAACACCGGUGGCGAAGGCGGCAACCUGGCUCGAUACUGACGCUGAGGCGCGUAAGCGUGGGGAGCAAACAGGAUUAGAUACCCGUGUAGUC
rnacentral:rRNA from 1 species